rnacentral:rRNA from 1 species
UGAGUAAUACAUCGGAACGUGUCUUCUAGUGGGGGAUAACUGCCCGAAAGGGCAGCUAAUACCGCAUGAGACCCGAGGGUGAAAGCGGGGGAUCGCAAGACCUCGCGCUGGAAGAGCGGCCGAUGUCCGAUUAGCUAGUUGGUGAGGUAAAGGCUCACCAAGGCGACGAUCGGUAGCUGGUCUGAGAGGACGACCAGCCACACUGGGACUGAGACACGGCCCAG